UGGGGAAUUUUCCGCAAUGGGCGAAAGCCUGACGGAGCAAUACCGCGUGAGGGAGGAAGGCUCUUGGGUCGUAAACCUCUUUUCUCAAGGAAGAUAAUGACGGUACUUGAGGAAUAAGCAUCGGCUAACUCCGUGCCAGCAGCCGCGGUAAUACGGAGGAUGCAAGCGUUAUCCGGAAUGAUUGGGCGUAAAGAGUCCGUAGGUGGUAAUUCAAGUCUGUGGUUAAAGCGUGGAGCUCAACUCCAUAAGGGCCAUGGAAACUGAAUAACUAGAGUGAGGUAGGGGUAGAGGGAAUUCUCGGUGUAGCGGUGAAAUGCGUAGAUAUCGGGAAGAACACCGGUGGCGAAAGCGCUCUACUGGGCCUUAACUGACACUGAGGGACGAAAGCUAGGGGAGCGAAAGGGAUUAGAUACCCCUGUAGUC
rnacentral:rRNA from 1 species